rnacentral:rRNA from 1 species
CCUACGGGAGGCAGCAGUGAGGAAUAUUGGUCAAUGGACGCAAGUCUGAACCAGCCAUGCCGCGUGCAGGAAGACGGCUCUAUGAGUUGUACACUGCUUUUGUACGAGGGUAAACGCAGAUACGCGUAUCUGUCUGAAAGUAUCGUACGACUAAGGAUCGGCUAACUCCGUGCCAGCCGCCGCGGUAAUUCGGAGGAUUCAAGCGUUAUCCGGAUUUAUUGGGUUUAAAGGGUGCGUAGGUGGUCGGAUAAGUUAAGGGUUAAAUCCCGAGGCAUAACCUCGGUAUUGCCUCUGAUACUGUUCGGCUAGAGAGUACUUGCGGUAGGCGGAAUGUGUGGUGUAGCGGUGAAAUGCUUAGAGAUCAUACAGAACACCGAUUGCGAAGGCAGCUUACCGGGCUACAUCUGGCGUUGAGGCACGAAAGCGUGGGUAGCGAACAGGAUUAGAUACCCUUGUAGUC